GCAAUAACAGGUCUGUGAUGCCCUUAGAUGUCCUGGGCUGCAGGUGUGCCACAAUGUUGGCAUCAGUGGUCUGGCACUGGACCCUCUCCGAGAGGAGGAGGGAACACCCCAAACGUCAUCAUGGUAGGGAGUGGGGCUUGCAAUGAUCCCCAUGAACUGUGAAUGCCCUGUAGGGGCCAAUCACCAUUCAGCCCUGAAUGAGUCCCUGCCCUUUGUACACACUGCCCAUCACUACUGCCGAUGGCUGGGUGGGUGAGGGCACUGGACUGUGAGCCAGACACUGAUGCUGGUCGGAUGAGACAGAGCAUGGGAAGGUGUCCAAAUCUGCCUGGCUAGAGGAAGUAAAAGUCAUAACAAGGUUUCC
rnacentral:rRNA from 1 species